rnacentral:rRNA from 1 species
AGCGAACGCUGGCGGCAGGCUUAACACAUGCAAGUCGAGCGGCCAUCCUUGUGGUGUCAGCGGCUAACGGGUGCGAAACGCGUGGGAACGUGCCCUUCGGUUCGGACUAAUUUAGGGAAGCUUGAGAUAAAACGGGAUAUAUGCUAGAGCAGCAAGGUUUAUCUGGCGAAGGGACGGCGGGCGUCUGAUUUGCUGGUUGGGGAGGUUACGACGCCCCAAGGCGAAGUUCAGUAGCUGGUCUGAGAGGAUGACCAGCCACACUUGCACUGAGACGCGGCCCAGACUCCUACGGGAGGCAGCAGUGGGGGAUACUGGACAAUGGGGUCAACCCUGAUCCAGCCAUGCCGCGUGAGUGAUGACGUCCUGAGGGUUGUAAAGCUCGUUUCUCCGGGACGGUAAUGACGGUACCGGAGGAAUAAGCCCCGGCUAACUUCGUG